CGGGGGUAGCGGGCGGCGGCGCGGGGCCGCCCCCGGCGGGUCGCGGGGAAGGAUGCGCCCCGGGGAGACCCGGGGCAGAGUUGUGGCAGCAGCCGCUCGGGGAGGCCCCUGCCCAGCCGUCCCCCGAGAUCGUGGGGAUGACGGCCGGGGGUAUCGGGCUGCUCGCCGCCAGGCAGCCAGGCGGGAGGGCGGGCGGCCCGUUGGGGUCUGCGGCUGCCGCCCCCCGUCCGGAGCCCCCCUCACGGACUUUCCCUCUCGGGCCCCGGGGCCUUUGAGGCCGGGGGAGCUGCUGUGGGCCCUGCAGAGAAGAACGGGGUGCCGGGGGUGUGGGUCUGCAUGUCUACUUGUGGGGUGCUGGAAGUUGGGAUGCCAUGGGGGCAGGCCGCGGCCCCGCCAGCGGCUAGCGUGCUCCUCAGAGGCACUGAGCAUGCACGGCUCCUGCCAGCUCCCAAAUCAGGCCAUGAUAGAAUCGUAAAUACAUAAUACUCCUCCGAUGUGAUGAGUAGGGAGCAGAAGAGUUAAAUGUGUACAUCGAGGAGAGGCAACUGACAUGUAAAGGGCUUUGCUGUGCAGUUGUUGAGCGAUUCUGAAAUGAAAUAUUUGAAAACCCUUCCAAGAAUAAAUUUAAUUCCCGCACGCUUGUUUCUGGAUCGCCUACUAUGGAAGGAAGUGUGCUGGGUAGCUAGCAACAAUUAGUAGAGUUACAUCUGCUUUUAGCGCACCUGGUGACUUUAUCACUGAUAAAACAGUCAUUGAAAAAAAAUUUGUGUGGGAAAACAUCCAUUCUAUCAAGAUUUUGGAUUUGGACAUUUGUUCUAUGUAAGCAUGAAAGAGGUGGCAUUAGGAAAAAAAUCUGGAGGAAAUAAAGCAAUGCACCUUAGACUAGCCCAGUAGUCAGCGUGUCCCUAAAGUGGAGGCCAAACUUGAACACAGGCCUCCACGUAGGAGGUGAAUACUUCAGCUACCCACAGAGUAGGUACUGUCUACUCACUGCAGGCCUGUAACUAGUAGAUAGUAGGUACUGUCUACUAUCUACUCUCUGCACAGAUGGAGACGAGGCCAAGCUGUGUAUCAGAAACCAAGAAUUGGACCUGAAAACCCUCCCUCACAGUUUCCGUUACUGGCAAAACAUGUAUUUAUCUUGAAAGUUUGCAUUUUGACAUGUCAGUAUUUUUACAAUAUAAAUGAGCUUGAAAUUUUUUUGAUCAGCCUAAUGUUCAGGACCUAUUAGAAGCUGGAGAACAUAUUCACAAUCAAUUCACUUACUCACAUGCAUGAAUACAAGCUUAGAAAAGUAAUUACAGGCACCCGUUUUUGGAAAUCUUGAGGCUGUGUAGUUUCCCCACAGGAAAUAUGAGUAUUAAAUUCCUUAAAAAAAAAAAAUACUGGUAUUUAUUUUUGUCUUUAAUAUUAAAAUUGUUGAUGAAAUAUUCCAGAUAUGGUAAGGUUGGCUUGACGUAAAUCCUUCCUUUUAAUUAUUGUUUAAUACUUGAGGCAGAAAAAAGAAUAUCUUGGUAACUUAAGUGUGGGGUUUUUCAUUGUUACCGUUUGUUUUUACUUUUUAAAUUUUUAGUUGUCUUGCCUAAGAGAAACUUUUUACUUUUUUUGUUAAACUGUUAAACAUGUAAACAUAAAUUUGCAGCCGUAUUACCAAAUAUGGCUAUUCUGAUUGCUCUUCAGCUAAAGGAUGAUGUAUCCGUACACAUUGUAUUAUUCUAUUUUAGCUUUUAAAUCUUUAUUCAGAACAUUAAUUUCUUAAGCUCUAUUGUUACAAAAAGUGAAUUAUACUUUACAUUUUUAGUUGUUUACUUAUGAUUUGUCAAGUUCUGUUCAUAUGAAAACUGACAUUCAGUUAAAAUUUACAUGACAUCAUUUUAAAUUGUUCAUUAAUUAAGACUACCCUAAAUGUUCUUGAUGCAUUUUAAAAGCAUGUUUGUCUUUUAAAAUACUUUAUGAAACAACUGAAAUAAUGACAUGUAGAAAAUGAAUUAAAUUUGAAGCAUGUAGUAGCCAUCACCUUCAUGGUCUUAGAGAAGACAGAUCUUGUCCUUUCUUGCUUAGGUUUAGUUGUAGAUUGACAGAGGAAAAUAGGCAAUUUUUUUCUAGUCUUACGUUGAUGUUUCAGCUUUGAGUUAAAUAGUUCUUAACUGAACUUCUUGCAUGGCUUGAAACAAAGACACUUACUCUGCCUAUAGAAGACACUGCAGCUCUCAGAAAUUGCUCUCCUGCAUCAUUUAAAUCCUGUUCCAUACGCUUAGCCAGUGGCUUCAGUCAAUUCACUGGCAUCACCAUCAAAACUUCAGCAGCAAACGCCUCUUUUGAUUGACUAUCUGAACUCACUUCAGUACAUGACAGCAAGAUCUAAAUUACCUCCAGUAUCACAUGUAAUUGGAAGAGAUGCAGAUGUAUAUAUAGGGGGGAGAAGGUUGAUUUUUUUAAAAAUAUUAAAUUCUGGGGGGAAAUAUGAUGGAAUAAUGGUGUCCAUUUAGGACAGUACUUCUAAUGGUAUCUUGAUCAAAUUCAAGGGAUAGUAAUGCAAAGAACCCCUUUAAGGUUCUCUUUUCAACUUUAGGGUUUUAUUCAACUAUUUAUAGUUGCCUUUGAUUGUACAAACAGAAUGUUACUUUAAGGUGGGCAAAUGAAGUUCAGGAGAACACUGGGGAAGGCAGAAAUGGAUAGUAAAGAUAGCCCUGUAUAACAGCACAUCUCUUUAUUUCUGCUAAAUAUUUGUAUUUCAUUUGGGACUUUGGUCAUUGUUAAUUCUUUAUAAGUAGUUUAAUUUAAAUCCAUACUUCAAAACCACCCAUUUUUCAGUGGGUGAACGGAUCAUACCUACUUCAGGAUUUUUUUUAUGUUUCUCAAAUAGUUUGAUUUUUACAGAUAUGGGGCCAGCAGACUUCUGUCAGCACAGCAUCACUGCAGAGGAGGAACGGUAGACCACUGCUGAGUGGCAUUCUCUAGCUCUGAAAUCUUCAAUCAUCUCUUGUGUUAUCUGGUAUCCUCUGUGCUUGACAUGUCAGACUUCCUGCACGUGCGCUGCAAAGCUAGUCUACACAUACGCGCUAUGCCGAUACCUCCUAGACUAGUCUGAUUUAGGAUCCCACAAUGUUCCUCUGACGGAUCAGGUUUAAUGCAUAUGUGCAAGUACAGCUGAUCUACACAUUCAGUGUGGUCCUAGCCUGGACUCUUGACUAUUCUGCAUGCAAGUAAGUGUACAUGCACCCUGGUGCUUUGCUCUAUGGCCAUAAAACCUGGACAAAUAAAGAAGACCAUCAAGUUGUGCCUGCACAUGAUUACCACGUAGAGGAAAUGACAUAUGUAAGAAGCCUUAUCUAUAAAUUAGCCUUAUUACUUCAUUCUCCACCAAUGGAGAGAUCUGUUACUUGGGCAGUAGAACUUCGUUGUUAAUGUACACACACAAAAAAGUUUGUUUUUUUGUCCCCCCGUUUCUCUUUCCCAGAGAAAUUUAAAACUGGGUCUGAUGCAUGACUAAUAUUCUAUUGUCAUUUCUUUAGUGGAGGUCAUUAAUAUGCAUUAUGUUUUUCAUCUAAUAUUAUAUACAUUAUUUCAUAAUAUUAAAUGUAUUAGUCAAAUCAUUCUUAUUCAUAUGUAGUUUUCCAGUAAACCUCAGUGAUCUUUCAAUUGUGGCGAGGUAUUCCCUCCCACGCCUCCUAAAAUACAGAACUGCAGUAUUCUGCCUAUGGGGAAAAAGCCUGAAGCCACAUGGUGGUGUAUCUGUUCAACACUGUGAAAGAGAAUUUCCCUAUUCACAGUCUUGCACAGUCAACAUGACCUGCUGGUAAAUUUUAAGUUGCCUGACACCAUGAUUAAAACCCUCUUUUUUUUUUUUGCAUUAUGUUGUUUGAUGAAAUGGAGGAGACAAAAGACUCGAAUGUUUGCAUACCAAUCAAACAAUUGCACGUUGAUCAAUUCUACAGGCUUUUCAUAUUCUUAAAAAUGUAGUAAUACUAUAGAUACUGUAGGACCUUUUAAUUUCUCCAUUACAAGUGAAAUGAAAGGCUGAAGUCCAGAAUCCCAAAUGCAGAGUACUUUUCAAAUGAAGGGGACUGGGCAGAAGGCUGUGAGAAGGUGAAGUGAGAGAGAUGCAUAAAAGAAACUUCAUUUCAAAAAGAUAGCCUUUUUAACCAAAGAGAUUUAGCUGCACUCAGCCAGAAAUAUUUUCUGGAUUGUCAUUCCCACUUUGCAAUGAACAAGUAUCAGUAUGAUUUCUUGAUGUGUUUAAUUAUGUGAAGUAUGAAAUCAAGUAGGUACAUCCAACAGCUACAGAAAAAUGACAAGACAUAAUUUCAGACAAGCCAGCAUUGUUUUAUCCCAAAGAUGCCAAAAAUGGCUUCAGAAUUAUAUUCAGCUUUUAAUUAAGACAAAUGAGAGAUGUCACAAAUCAUCCAUUGUAUGGGUCACAUCAAAAGCACGUAAGUACUGUAGAAUUUCUUCUUUCUUGAUGUAGUUCCCAGUUGCAUUUUCCUGGAGCCUUCCUUUAAGUUUAAUACUGUGCUGGAUGCUGGAGUGCUACAAAUAACCUUAAAGCCUGGACAGAAGUUGCCUGUAUUAUUAAUAGUAAAAUGAAAUAAGUCUGCAUUCUCCUAUAUUAAAAAGAGAAAAUUAAGCAAAGUGAAUAAAAACAAAAACAAAAAGCGUAAUAUUUUGAAAGAUUAGGAGUUAUAUAUUUGGAACAGCUCUAAAGAUUACUUUCUUUUCCAUGCUAUAAAUCAAAAAAUGUAACUGAGAUGCCAUCUCUAGUGAUGAAAGGUAUUUUGUUGUUUUUUUUGCAAGUGAUAUGUACUCUUCAGCUCAGGGGAAAAAGUCCAUUUCCAAAUUACUUUUAACAACAAUCCAGUGGUCAUAUUUGUGCUUCUAUUUUAGGAACAUAGAUCCCUUUUAUAGACACUAAACAUGGUUUACUAGUGGAUUUUUUCAUUUAUUAUAACUGUUUCAUGUAGUGUCUUUCAUGUAAACAUUAUAAAAGGAAUUUACUGUUGGAUGUAGAAGUUGGGGUUUGGGUUUUUUUGCCCUUUGUUCUUGUUUUGUAUGUUAUUUCUUUGGAGAACUCUUUUUUCUCCCCUUUCAGGAAAUUUCACAUAAUCUUUUCCAUUCGUCAUCAGCCAGGUUGCUGAUUACCAGAGUAACUGCCAAGCUUUCAACUCCUUGUCAUCAAUGGGCUGUGAAUGACAGACAGCAUUAAUGUUGGCAAGCUCCCACUCUCCUUUUCGCCUUUCCCAAAUGUAAUUAAACUGCACUAAUACAGCAAAAGAAGAGCUGCAGCUUUAUUUUACUCACCCUAAUAAUUAAAUCACAGAAGCACACAAUGGAGUCAAAUAAACCCAUCAUGGCACAGAAAUUCAGAGGGGACAGCUGGAUAAAGGACAGAAAAGAUGUAAUAUACAGUUUGAAUGACACACAACUUACCCACCAGAACAAGAAGGCAUUAUCCUGAUCACGGAGGAAGUCCUGAGCUUUUGGUUUAAAGACUGGGGGUGUCAGAGGAUAACCAGGAGUGAGGAAGAAGGAGAAAAGAGAGUCCUCACUUCACCUGCAGAGGAUGACAGAGGCUUGUAGAAUGCACACUUAUCACUGAACAUUUCUGGGAUAGAUAACUUACCACCAAAUUAAUUUUUGUAUGUUUCUCAGGACUGAGGUGAGUGAAAUGAAGUUACAGGCCUGCAGGAAUGCAAUGGAAUUUGCCCAUAAAGCUGUCCCCCAUUGCUCUAGGAUGGCAAGCAGGCGCUCAUAAGGAGGCUGAGAACUGACUGCCAUGAGCACUGUAAACACAGCUUUGUGGCCAGUAUACACGCUGGAAAAGGGAUGGUAGUCUCAUUUUUCGAGCUAUCAAAAAUAGUACAGUUGGCUUGUAAGACCAAGUUUACAGUAAUGCAAAUAAAUAGUUUGAAAAAAUGCAGACAAAAAAAAAAAAAAAAAAAAAGGAAAGAUUAUUGUUACACAGCUAGCCAGAAAACAGGGACACCAUCCUUAGGGAAAGCAUGGAAGAGCCAGAACCCACUGCCAGCAUAUACUUGAGAAAUAAGAAUGGGAGCUUGGUUACUGACCAAAGUAGACAUAGCUUCAAAAAUGACAAUUAAUAGGCCAGCUUGGCUGUGCAGACUCUAAAUGAGUGUUUCCUUGUGCAGUUUUGGUGACUAAAUUUUAGUCAACUGGUAGUUGACAGGUGGUACCCUGUAAAUCCAGCCUGUGCCAAAUUCAUUCAAGAUCUGUUAGUGUGGAGCAAGUAAUUUACCAGUGUGAACAAACUGUUCUGUAACAAUAAACGUAGUUUAAUAUUAUGGUAGUCUUCCAGAGGAAGAAACCUUUGGUUGAAACUUUUAGAUAAAGUUUGCAGGAGGAUCUGAUAUGUUAGGUUUUCAGUAGUUCUGAAGCAGGAGAAAAUUUUUAUGUUUGAUAAUGUAGCUAAUGUGUAGUGAACAGUAAAAAGGAAAAAAAAAGUGACACAAUAUGUAAAAAUGUAAAACCACUGGUGUAAAUGAAUCGUGUACAGGAGGAACACUAAAGGGAUGAAGUUGAAGGUUUGUUUCUGUUAGAUUUAUUUUGAUAUAGUGAUUCAUGGAAGAACUCUACAACUCAAACCAAAUCAGUUAUAAAGCAGGUAUGUGGUUUGUUUUGGCACCAGGAACAUGCAGGAUAGCUCCCAAAGGCAUGAGCGCCCUAACACGGCAACUUGCUAUGGUUAUAUGCAGUAAAGUGUUACAUAUGCAUGAAGUUUCCCAAUAUGCCGAUACAUAUGCAUAACCUAUCCCCGAUUUGUAUUGAAGUUAGCUCCAAGAAGUCAUUUCCAUAAACUCCUUCUGUCUGCACUUGCGCAGGUGGUGGUCGUCGGGGGGGGGGGAGGUUGUGGGAAGAAGGUUGAUAACUCUUCUUCAUCACCACUAGUUGACCCCCUGCCUUUGUACAGACCUAGCUGCUCCUUGGCUCUUGUCCAAACCACAAGGUUGGUCUCAGCUGGUUUUUGAGACAGGUUCCUCAUUUGUGUCAGGAAGCAUCCUCUGUGAGGGGCCACGAGACUCAUUGUUUCAGUUAAUUUGCAUAGUAGUAAGCAAAGACACUUAGCAAUAUCUAUUUUAAUGUGAUUAAGCAAACCCCCAUUCUUCCAUUCCUGGCUUUAAUAAGUACAAUUGUUUUAUUUAGAAAUCAUUAAUGCGAUUAGGCAAGCCCCUAUUUUUCUAUCCCUGGCUUCAAUAGUACCUGGUUUGAUAUUGCCCCAAAGACCUUUUGGAUAAACAUCAUGACUUUCUCUUUGAUUCAGGAAGGACGGAGGCUGCAGUAUUCCGAGGCUAUCAAAGGGAGAACCAGCACCUCAAACAUCCACCUCAUAUGUUUAUAACAUCAAGCAAAGAAAGAAGAAGCCACAAAGGACAUCGAAAAACAGAAGAGCAUAAAUAAGUCUUCAACUGUUCUUGUGCAUCAACAAUAAUUCUUGUAAGAGAAAAAAAUGAAGGCAGAUUUGGUUCUUGUGUAGAAACUACCUUGAACACUUUAAAAGGCUUCCUCUGAGUCACUAUGAAUAGUGAUGAUUCCCCAGACCCUGUAACAGUUUUAUCUGAUUUUUCAGACUGAAUAUUAAGCAAAGAUUGGCAAUAGAAAAUGGCCCAGAAGAUGAGAAAAAUGCUAUUAUUGAAGACAAAGUGUGUGGCACUUCAACAUGAUGGCCUUUAAUUUUCAUAGUGGGCAGUUACGCAAGAGAGACCACCAGAGAAGGCUUUGGUCCAGAACUCCUACCAGCCUGUUCUCUACACCUAGUUAAUAUACUGGUCUUAUGCUAAUAUCUUCGAACAAAAUUAGAUACGUUUACAAAUAUAGGCUGGGAUCAACCUAAGGCUGCUGGUUUGAAACUGUACCCAAAGCCAUAGGAAUUGGUUUAAAACAAUGAGUUUAGCUCUGGUGCGCAGAGCUGUGAGGAGAGAAAUUCCACUCUUAAGAUCUUUCAACACCAGCCAGCUCCCCAGAGACUCCCAGAUGUGCAGUUUUGUGGGACUUUAAUCCUACUCGAGGAAGUUUAUUUGUGCAUUUCACAAUAUUACAUGUCAUUUGCAUAAAAAUGUUAGGAAAAGAAUGUUAUUUCAGUGGUCAGUGUGUGAUUUAGUAAACAAAGAUGAAAAGGUUCUUCUGACUUUUUCUGUGUUAAACUGCCUGGGCUUCAAACCCCCUUUUCAAUUAGACAAAAAUGCUGGUGUUUAUGGACUAGGUAUUGAUACAGGAAUGCAAAUGACUUCACAGGAUGACAGUUUAUUAUAAGUCAAUGGCUGAACUCUCCUGGGAAAAAUUACUAGAUGCUCUGCCAGUGAUUAAAACUAUGGAACAUUUUCACAACUGUUUGUAUAGAAAGAAGCUUGUGAUUGGAACAGACUGGGCAAUCCCAGAAUUGGCUCUUUGGAUUUGAAACCAGAGGGGCAAUUCCUUUUAACCACAGAUUGGAAAAACUGCAGUGCUACGGUUUUGUAGUAGCCCAAAAGCAUUGGUUCAGGCUUAAUGUUGAUUGCUAUUGAUAUUUUGUCCAGAUAGGUUUAUUGUGAGAUUGAUUCCAAAUGCCAGUCUAAACAAGCAAGGAGCAAAGAACUGAUUGCUCAGGGGAAUGAGCGUGUUUGGGAAGAGAUGAUUGUUUCCUCCCUUCCUAUAUCUUGCAGCAGUUCAAAUCCAGUAAAACAGUGGCUACAAUUAUUCUCAAGAAACCAAGUCAUUCCCAUGGCAAGAACCUGGUAUCAGAGCACUGUGCAACUGGUAACAGCUAUCUUGAAAUACAGUCUCUCCCUUAGUUUACCUCAGUGAGAACUCUCUGUUCACACUGUGAUGGCUUGGGGUUUGAAAUGCAAUUUGGUAAAGAAGAUGGAAAGAAAGCAGUAGGUGAUAAGCUUUAUUGGCUGGUUUUAGAUCAACGGAAAAAGAAGGCUGUAGUGUAAUGUCAUCAUUUGAAAAUGGCUGGAGGUUUGAUAAUGGUUGAGGGGUUACAACAUGGUACAAUUUCUAUUACAAAAGUUACACAAUAGAUGUAGAAAAAGUGUCCAGGAAACAAGUAACAAGGAAAAUCUCUGGGAGGCAAUAUUUUGCCAAGCAGAUCACAUGAAUAAGUACACAUGAAUAAGGAGUAGCAAUUUUUAUUUGAUUGGGGUUUUUUAAACUGGUUCACAACAUAACAACCAUUGUUUGGGAAGGCAUUAUGAGGGCCCUGCAUGCAGUAAUAAGUCUUAAUGACCCUGACUAGCUUCACCUGUGGUCUCCACCCCACACUCAUGGAGCCAGGAGCUCUAUUUAAGCUAAGCUUUGGGCAUUCAGCUCUUGUAUGAGCUAUAUUGGAGCAGUGGCAGGUCACAGGCAUGCUGGGGAGCUGCUUGCUCUGUGCCUUAAUUUAUGUGCUGCCUUGAUUAGGGGUCUGUUUUUUCUACGCGGGCCUGCCUAGUCAUCGCUGGAUGUGAUUUUAGCCCUGACCUAUAGGAACACUUUCUAGCUGGACUUUAGACCUGCUUCACCACCAUAAUAGUGCCUUUAAAAUCUUUUUUUUUUUUUUUUUUUGGGGGGGGGGGAGGGGGGACCUGGCCACUGUCUCUGGAUUUGCCCUGCAAAAUUGUCCUUUAGGUACUGUGGGUUGGGCUCUGGUUAAUCUGGUUAAUGAGGUCACUGCACUGGUGGCACUGGGAUCCCCACUGGCUUGUGGCUCACCUCCCUUUGGAGAACAGCCCUGCUCUGCUUCUCCCUGGCAGACAUGAAGUGGAACAGACUGUAGCAGAGAAAAUGAUUUAGAUUUGGAAUUUGGGGGUGAGAUAUACAUGGGUCAGGGAAGAAAUUAUGAAUCAUGUGUUUCUGUAGACUUGUAGAACUACAGGAAAUCUAUUAAGUAACUACCAUUUCAGUGAACAAAUUUAUGAUAAGAUAGCAGAGAAAAUCAGACUUGAUGCUGGCUUUCUUAUCCCUUACAGGCACAAAUUAACAUUUUUUUAUUCCUUCUAAAUUAGUAAGAAGUGCAGGCUCCUUAUCCUUGGGGGUUAGAGAUUUCUGCAAGUCUUCUGCCUGGUGUUCCUGUAGACUAACAGUUCUUUUGGUCACUUAGAAGCUUUGAGUUGCAAAAUGGGAAACCAAAGUGUCACAUGCUUCCUGGGUUAUAUCUGAAGGCAGCUUUGGAUAACUGGGACUAAGUAAUAGUAAUGAUUUUACUAUGUGAGCCAGGAGUAGUACUUCCCCAGACUGGGGGUUGUGCUGGGACAAGGCCUGGAUUACACCAGCUCUUCUACAUAACCAUUUUCAUUCAGAGAUUCAAAGGAAGCUUAGGCACAUGGACUAGGAUGGAAUCCCCCAACUGGAGAGAUGGGGACUGCCGGGUGGGCUAUAGAUAAGACUUUUUAAGUAGCAACAGUACUGCUGAAACAAAGAUCAUUUGUUAGAUACCUCUCAAGUGCUGUUCAGUUUCUGAUCUAAGGUAGUUCCUGAGUUUCUGGCAAAAUUGUAGACUAUUUUGUCCUCCCUACAGAGUAAAUCACAGAUGGAACUACUUGGAACUGGGAGUUUGAGUCUCUAUUGAUGCUUUGUGAAGUCAAUGCUUGUUUUAGCUGUGGUAAUCACUGAGCAGCUGAAUGGUUUGGGGAACCAAACCAUUUGGGGUUCAGAAAAAAUCCUGAAAAUAUCUCUCUUUAAUUUGACUUGGACUGAAAUCAAAUCCUAAAAGUCCAUUUAAACUUCUACUGAACCACAAAUCCUGCAUUUGGACCAGAUCUAUUGGAAAACUUAAACUGAAUAAACCUUGGGUAGGUCUGUAUGUAAAACUGAUGUGAAUACAAACAAUGUCAUUGAAGAUAAUUUGGGGGUCAGUCUUUGAAAUAACUUAUCUGUUGUGCCCAACUGAGGGUAUUUUCAGGGUUAAGAUUAUCUCCUUCCCUUUCUACCAACAGAAAAUGGAGAGAAUACCUGUCAGCCUCAAAAUUGCAAAAGCUGCUUGUAUCCAGUAGGAUACAAUGCAUGGGGUGUGUCAGCUAGCAACUUCUACCCACACAACAGAUGCUGUUCAGGGGCCCAUUGUGAGAGAUGCCUCCAAGGAGCCUGAAAAAAACUGCAUAAGGAGUGGAAAGCUCCCAAAAGAGAUGCAAUGAGGUGUAAUUGGUUUGGAGUAGCACAUGGGAACAUCGGAAUAGAAAGACAGGAUAGUCUCUUAAUUAUAUAAUUUAUCUUUCUUCUAUGAAGACUCUCUUAUUUCCUUUUGGAGGUAGCUUGAAGGUGUCACACUAUCCUAAACAGCAGUGAUGAGUAAAUAAGUUAGUGAGAUGUGGUUAUGUACCACCUUGAUUAUUAUCCUAAUUACUGUCUCUUACUUCUGUAAGUUGUAAGAAGCCGUAAAACUUCCUCGUGAAAUUGCAACAGGUGAUGGAACUUCAAAAUUCAAUGUCCAGAGCCAAAGAUAUAAAAAGCUGCUCAGGAAUUCACAAUCUGCAGCCACAGUCUUCCAUGGGAAUCCCUUUGAAAGGAGUGCUGUAUGUGUGUGUGAAAAGUAUAGAAGAGAAAGCUUAAGUGUAGAAUGAACAAGCACUGGGACUCUGGUUCUUUCAAAAAGCUAAAGGAGCAUUUUUCAGCUGAAUACUGUUCCAUAUGACUGAGUUGUGAACUGAGACAGUCUCUUCCUAUUUGAGUCCUUUUUUUGUUCAAGCAAAUGGGAUGACAUCAGGAAAACAGCUGACUCCACCAAACAGUUUCUGCUCCUAACUGGAACAACCUGCAAUGCCCAGAGUGGUGACUCAGCAGGUAAGAGGGGUCAUAACAUGUGUUAAUUGCCAGGAUAGUUAUGAUGUCUUAGAAAAUAAUUUUUAUCCUCUGUUCAUCACAUGGAUCCAGUCUUGUCAUUUGUGAACUAAAAUCUGGGCAGGAUUACUGGCACAAUGAGAAGUGGAUCCAUACCAUAAAUGUAAGGGACUGGGACAAACAGAGGCAAGUCCACAGUAGGAACAGUAUUGUUCGGUGCCAAAAAAAAGUGUGAAAGAUGAUACUAUUAUCUUAGAAAAAAGAAAUCUUAUGCCAGUGAUGUUAGAACCUCAGAAAUAAUGUGUCAAAGACGUUGGAACAUUUAGAAUACAAUCUCUUACUGUUCCAAUGUCAUCAACAUGUUGUUCUCACCAUUUUCUAUGACAAGUGAAUUUACUGAGUCAAUUUGUCUUCAACAUGUUAAAUGUACUAUGUGUAGGCAGGUAAGCUAACCUUAUUUAUAUAGUAUAACAAGGGAGAAUGCUAACUACACUCACUUUUGCACUUUUGAAAACUGUUUUCUAAGAGAAAAUACUACACAUCCAUUUUCAGAGCUGCGCUUUUCUCACACCUGACCUAGUGUUUCUCAAGAGAAUUGCUUCAACAAAGAGGGGGAUAAUUCUACCUGUGGUGUUGAAGUGAAAAUUUUGGUUGGCUCAUUACUCUGCUUGAACUGCUCUCGCACCAGAUAUUCCUUCAUCUUUCCUAAAAAAAAAAGUUCUCUAAAAGUAAGACCCUGAAAUGUCUGUCCCCCCUUCUGCUUCAUGCAUUACUUUAGUAUUUCUAGGUCUACCUUUUUAAUUUAUUAUUUUUUUUUUUUUCCCCACUAAUUGCUUUUCUUGAUUUGCUGGGGUAAUUUCUCUUCUUUCUCUGCCUCUGUUAUUUUUUUUUUUCUCUGCCUUUUUUUUUGUUUGUUUUGUUUUCCCCUGGUAUAGAUAGAUCAAAUGAACUCUCAACCUUUUGCAUUUCCUUCAUCCUUAAUCCUGGCUAUUUUAAAUCUGCUGUGUGCUCCCAGGGGUCUCAGUUAUCCAGCCAGCUCCUUCUGACUUGGUUGCCUUUUUUUUUUUUUUGUCACUGGUAUAACCUGUGCCAUAGGUCAUCCCUCUCCAUCACUGCACACAGACCACUUGCUACUGGCACUCAGGUCUGGGUGGAAAUUGGGCUGGUUUGUGUCAAUUCCUCAUCUUAUUGCAAUCUCCUAAGACUCCAGCUCUCCAAGAGUUUUGUACCUGACUGAGGUGGUACUACUGUGAGUGGCUCUUCCUUUCAUGUCCUCUUUUCCACUUGGUGGCUCCCUGUCAUUUCAGUGUUCUCCCUAUUCCCUUUAUACUUUUACUACAUAUCUGUUCCCUAUACAUACAACUGUGAUUGUGACUGUAUUCCUUUGCAUAUGUUCCCUGACAAUCUCUUGCAAUCAAUUUGAGAUCAGCAGUUGCCUAUUUGAAAUCUUGCCCUGAAUAUCUGACUUAAAUACAUGCUCUUCACCUUCUUCAUCUUUUGCUUUUUCAUUUUUCUCAACAAAAUUCUCUCUAUUCUCAGAGCAGGUAAUUCCUGCUUUCAUCUUUUUAAUUUGCUAUGUUUUUAAAUAUCUUUGUCAUUUCUACUUUUUAAAUGGCUGUUGAUCGAUAUCCAAUACAUACAUUUUAGCAAAGUGAUCAUCCCAUGCAACUAAAAUUUCAUAGCAGCACUUUCCCUGCUAGCAAAGGUGGGCUUGGUAGUGUUUAUAGGCGAUUAAUGGCUCCUCAAGUUAAGUGCCUUUCUGUUUCUGAAAGGAAAGCCAUAUGUCUGACUUUCUCCCCUCCAAGGAGGGGUGAUAUAGCUGCUUUUGCCAGUCAUAUGAAAGAUAUCAUAUGCAGAGGCAGGAUCGAAACUAGUGCAAGGGGUUUACAACUUAAGAACCAUUGUCUGGUCCCUCAUCCUUUUGCUUCCCAUGCUACCAAGUACUGUGUCAAAUUUCCUUCUCUUGCUCAAGUAGUGGUCCUUGCAAUACUGUAUCUCUUGUCAUAGUUAUUACAGUAGGUCCUUCUUCAACAACUAUAAAGUCACCUCACUUAUGCAAGUUAAGCCAUACAAAGCCACAAUUCUUGCAUGCUAAUGUCACAGUCCAGCAUCUUUUUCCCUUCCAGAUUUAAAUCACUGCAUUAGCUUUUUACCUCAUUCCACAUGAAGCAGAAACUCACUGCUGUUAAUUUUCAGACACUUGGUACUUCUGUCUACUGAUGUAUGUCAGUUUGAACCCAGCAGACACACUACUUUUACAAAAUAGUAGGGACCAUCUAUAUUCCCUGCUACCCUUUCUUUAAGCAAACCCAUGUGCCUAGAACAUUGUGCUGGAUGUUGUGCCCUGCAGCCUCACUUUUAUUCUCAUGUCCCUCCUCAGUUCCAUUCCGGUAUCCUCUCCUUUCUUCUGAAUUUUGCCAUUUGUAAUACUAAAUGUCCAAAAAUAUUGCUCCUUAAAUAUCAAAACUGAAGUGCUGUGGUGCUUUAUGGAGAUGUACAUCUCAUUAUUCAUUGCCUGGUGUCUAAGGAAGAGCAAUCUUUGACACAAACUUUUUUCAUGGUUGAGAUAUUUGUAUAGUCAUUCUCUCACAUGGAUACUUCAUGUCUAAAAAGAUCUUAAUCUAUAUGACACUCUUCCUCAGCAGUGGCAAUAGUAGGGUUUCUGGCCACUAGAACUCACUAGAGUUCUACUCUUCAGUUUGGAACCCUUGCUGUCUAGACAACUUAGGUAAAACCUGCUAGUGACUUGUAGAGGUAUUUUCUGAGGGACAUUUGUGUGUGCAUACUGAGAACAUGACUGCACAAGUAAAAAGCCUAGAAAGAAUCUUCCAGUGUUCGUAGGCACUGUAUUAAUCUCAAGCUCAUAUAACAGCAGACAUUGUUGGUUAUUUUCUCUCACAGUUAUCCUGUAAUUACUGGUAAUGUUGCUUCACUUCACUUUAAGGCAUUAUACUUUCUUCUAUAGGCAUCCCCUUGAUUAAGUUUACUUAGGUAUAAGGUUAUAGGUGGUACCUGUUUCCUGUUGUUCAGACCAUCACCUGUCAAAGUAAGUUUUCUACAAAGAAAAUAGUGUAUGUAUCCUUUGAACAUGCUAAAUCAUGUAUGUGAACUACCCUCAAGAAGUUCUACUGGAUGUGAAGAUUUCGUAGCUUGAUAUAAAGGAUUUGUGAAAAUAGCUCUGUGUCUAUGCAUAUAGAGGGAGACGCUUGAUACUUCUCUCAGUUUUAAUGUUUUUGUUGAAAUAAAAUUUGUUAUUGUAUGUGAUACUGUA